rnacentral:rRNA from 1 species
UACGUAGGCAGCGAGCGUUGUUCGGAAUUACUGGGCGUAAAGAGUGUGUAGGUGGUGCUCCAAGUCUGUCGUGAAAUCUCCCGGCUCAACUGGGAGGGUGCGCCGCAGACUGGAAUGCUAGAGUAUGGGAGAGGUAAGCGGAAUUCCUGGUGUAGCGGUGAAAUGCGUAGAUAUCAGGAGGAACACCUGUGGUGUAGACAGCUUACUGGACCAUGACUGACGCUGAGGCACGAAAGCGUGGGUAGCAAACAGG